rnacentral:rRNA from 1 species
AACGAACGCUGGCGGCAGGCUUAACACAUGCAAGUCGAGCGCCCCGCAAGGGGAGCGGCAGACGGGUGAGUAACGCGUGGGAAUCUACCCAUCUCUACGGAAUAACGCAUGGAAACGUGUGCUAAUACCGUAUACGUCCUUCGGGAGAAAGAUUUAUCGGAGAUGGAUGAGCCCGCGUUGGAUUAGCUAGUUGGUGGGGUAAAGGCCUACCAAGGCGACGAUCCAUAGCUGGUCUGAGAGGAUGAUCAGCCAAACUGGGACUGAGACACGGCCCAGACUCGUACGGGAGGCAGCAGUGGGGAAUAUUGGACAAUGGCGCAAGCCUGAUCCAGACAUGCCGCGUGAGUGAUGAAGGCCCUGGGGUUGUAAAGCUCUUUCAGCGGUGAAGAUAAUGACUGUAACCGGAGAAGAAGCCCCGGCUAACUUCGUGCCAGCCGCCGCAGUAAUAC